rnacentral:lncRNA from 1 species
UUGAAAAGAUAAAAUCUUACCAAAUAAAAUCAUAUAAAUAUAAAUACUUAGAAAGUUUAACAUUCAUGUAACAUUUCUAAUGCCAAGUACUCCAAAGGAAUAUGUUUUUUAUUUCAUAGCCAUAGAAUUUUUCUUGCUAAACAUUCUUUUUUUUUUUUUAAACAACUAGUUAUUCUUCUCUUGUCUAACAAGUAAUCCAUAUGAUUACUAUCAUUUAGGGCAAGAUGAUUUCUUGGAUAUUCUUUAUGUCACUAACUUCCAGGGAAAGCUCUGCUAAAAAAUAAGCAAACAAAUCUCUUCUUGCUUCUGUGUAUGUGUGUUUGCCAUUUACUUUACUGAGAUCUAAGUGUAAUUGUAAAGUAUUUUAAGCUAUGUGAUAUCAAAAUUUAGUAUCAGUUGUACAAUAAUAGUAAAUACGUG